CCUACGGGGAGCAGCAGUAGGGAAUUUUCCACAAUGGGCGAAAGCCUGAUGGAGCAACGCCGCGUGGGUGAAGAAGGUCUUCGGAUCGUAAAACCCUGUUGUUAGAGAAGAAAGUGCGUGAGAGUAACUGUUCACGUUUCGACGGUAUCUAACCAGAAAGCCACGGCUAACUACGUGCCAGCAGCCGCGGUAAUACGUAGGUGGCAAGCGUUAUCCGGAUUUAUUGGGCGUAAAGGGAACGCAGGCGGUCUUUUAGGUCUGAGGUGAAAGCCUUCGGCUUAACCGGAGUAGGGCAUUGGACACUGGGAGACGUGAGUGCAGAAGAGGAGAGUGGAACGCCAUGUGUAGCGGUGAAAGGCGUAGAUAUAUGGAAGAACACCAGUGGCGAAAGCGGCUCUCUGGUCUGUAACUGACGCUGAGGUUCGAAAGCGUGGGUAGCAAACAGGAUUAGAUACCCGGGUAGUC
rnacentral:rRNA from 1 species